AAGUCGUAACAAGGUUUCCGUAGGUGAACCUGCGGAAGGAUCAUUAUUUGAUCUGAAUUGGCGGCAUUUGAAAAAUGCAGCCUUUUUGCUUUGUGAACUGUCUUGUACUGUUUUUUUAAUAGUUGCUUCUUUUCUUCGGAAAAAAAAUAAAGACAACUUUCAGCAAUGGAUCUCUUGGCUCUU
rnacentral:misc_RNA from 1 species